rnacentral:misc_RNA from 1 species
CUGGAAAAGAGUCCAAGAGGAAGCUCAGAGCUUCCAAAGUAUCCACAAAUUUAACAAAUAAGUUUCUGGGUACGGAAAUGGAUUUGGAAGCUGAUACUUGCGUGACAAUGGAUGAUGCGCAAAUGAAGAUAGCAAAUUUAAGACCAAACUUCUCUCUUAGUUGUAUAGAAGGUGAUUCCUCUGGCAAUUACAAAUCAUGUGAGGCAGCAAAUAAAGUUUUCGAAACCAGUUCCUUUGAAACUUCUGUUCUUCAAUCUCAUAAGAUGACACAGCAUUUUGCACACCAACCAAUUUGUAAUUUUCCAAGUCCAACGGAACUAGCAAUCCUUGAUGAUAGAUUUCUGGCAAAGCGCUGUGGUCUUGGCUAUAGAGCAGGUC